UGGGGAAUAUUGCACAAUGGGCGCAAGAUGCAGCGACGCCGCGUGAGGGAUGACGGCCUUCGGGUUGUAAACCUUCUGUCAGGGAAGAAGAGAAAUUGACGGUACCUGCAGAGAAAGCGCCGGCUAACUACGUGCCAGCAGCCGCGGUAAUACGUAGGGCGCGAGCGUUGUCCGGAAUUAUUGGGCGUAAAGAGCUUGUAGGCGGUUUGUCGCGUCUGCUGUGAAAGGCCGGGGCUUAACCCCGUGUAUUGCAGUGGGUACGGGCAGACUAGAGUGCAGUAGGGGAGACUGGAACUCCUGGUGUAGCGGUGGAAUGCGCAGAUAUCAGGAAGAACACCGAUGGCGAAGGCAGGUCUCUGGGCUGUAACUGACGCUGAGAAGCGAAAGCAUGGGGAGCGAACAGGAUUAGAUACCCUGGUAGUCCAUGCCGUAAACGUUGGGCACUAGGUGUGGGGGACAUUCCACGUUUUCCGCGCCGUAGCUAACGCAUUAAGUGCCCCGCCUGGGGAGUACGGCCGCAAGGCUA
rnacentral:rRNA from 1 species